UCGGGGAUAGUUUAACCGGCAGAAUACCUGGCUUUGGACCAGGCGGUUGAGGUUCGAAUCCUCAUCCCCGAG
rnacentral:tRNA from 1 species